rnacentral:rRNA from 1 species
GAAUAUUGGACAAUGGGGGGAACCCUGAUCCAGCCAUGCCGCGUGUGUGAAGAAGGCCUUCUGGUUGUAAAGCACUUUAAGCGAGGAGGAGGCUACUCUAGUUAAUACCUAGAGAUAGUGGACGUUACUCGCAGCACAAGCACCGGCUAACUCCGUUCCAGCAGCCGCGGUAAUACAGGUGGUGCAAGCGUUAAUCGGAUUUACUGGGCGUAAAGCGCGCGUAGGUGGCCAAUUAAGUCAAAUGUGAAAUCCCCGAGCUUAACUUGGGCAUUGCAUUCGAUACUGGUUGGCUAGAGUAUGGGAGAGGAUGGUAGAAUUCCAGGUGUAGCGGUGAAAUGCGUAGAGAUCUGGAGGAAUACCGAUGGCGAAGGCAGCCAUCUGGCCAAAUACUGACACUGAGGUGCGAAAGCAUGGGGAGCAAACA